rnacentral:lncRNA from 1 species
UUCGCCCGCCCUGCCCCUCGCCUGCUUCAGAAGCUUCCAGGAACUCCCGGGUCGGCGACCCAGCCCGAGCCGCCUGGGGCCCCAAGGGAAGCUGAACGCCCUGUGGGCUCCUGGGAUGGUUCUUCCCGUUCUUUGCGCCGCCUUCACCCAUUGAAGAGCCUGUGCCCACCCUGCCCAGUCGCUCUCGGGGCCGCGGAGGAGCUUCCGCUGCCAUCUUCGGAUCCUGUGUUCCGCACGGGGGCUCCACCAGGGCAGGGAUGGUGCAGAAUGGGGAAAUGGAGAGAGAACCUGAAAGAGCCCCAAACUCGAGGACCUAUUGCUCCCCAAGAAUAACAUCUUCCAGAAGAACUAGACAGAAAACUAGGCGUCUGGGAACUCUGAAAUCCUUGGAGGAGUAGCAUCAUCAUGACCCUCUGUGUUCCUUUUGGCAAAGGACUUGCUCCCAUUGUUUGCUUGUUCCAUUGUCUGUCUGUUAAAUAAAUAAAACCCUUUUCAUAUAUCUUUAAACUUAAAAAAAAAAAAAAAAAAAAAAAAAAAAAAAAAAAAA